ensembl:lncRNA novel transcript, sense intronic to KLC1
CUAGUCCAUAGGUAAAGAGCAUACAAAACAGACGCCGAGGUGAUCAGUGAUUCCAAAGGCUGACGCUCAGCAGCGCCACCUCCAUGCCAGCCAACUAGGCUACGGGAUGGAGGGGCGGUCUGUGAAACACCAGCCAUCCCGUGAAAGCUCAGCUUGCCACUGUCAUGUAACAGGGUGGGUGGUGGCACAGCAGAGGCUCACACUUGUCACCUUCAGCCUCUAGAAGCUCCCCGUGGGGCACGAAGGCUGGGGACAGAGUGUCCUGAGGUUUUGUUACAAGGCUAGACUUUAAAAUACCUUUCAAAGUUUCAUCCCGCCUCAUGUCGCAGGACUGCUGUGUUUGUGAAAGCGCGUUUGUUUCCACAAGACAAGCUCCGUGUAGUCGCCAGCGGGUGCCUGGCCCAGGAGCUGCCCUGUGGAGCCAGCGUUGUCCCCGAGCUGCUCGCCUGUGGCCGUGGCUCCUUUUCUGAGGCUCCUGACUCCAUUCUUGCAGAUUCUGGUGGAUCAGGAGCUUACAUUCUAAAUGCUACAUAGAGGUGUUGAAGAAAAUUUCAUAGGUUCUGUAAUAGUGGAUGGGAUUAAAAGAAAAAAUGUUAAAUUAUAUAUAUAUA